UGGGGAAUUUUGGACAAUGGGCGCAAGCCUGAUCCAGCCAUGCCGCGUGCGGGAAGAAGGCCUUCGGGUUGUAAACCGCUUUUGUCAGGGAAGAAAUCUUCUGAGUUAAUACCUCGGGAGGAUGACGGUACCUGAAGAAUAAGCACCGGCUAACUACGUGCCAGCAGCCGCGGUAAUACGUAGGGUGCAAGCGUUAAUCGGAAUUACUGGGCGUAAAGCGUGCGCAGGCGGUUUUGUAAGACAGAGGUGAAAUCCCCGGGCUCAACCUGGGAGCUGCCUUUGUGACUGCAAGGCUUGAGUGCGGCAGAGGGGGAUGGAAUUCCGCGUGUAGCAGUGAAAUGCGUAGAUAUGCGGAGGAACACCGAUGGCGAAGGCAAUCCCCUGGGCCUGCACUGACGCUCAUGCACGAAAGCGUGGGGAGCAAACAGGAUUAGAUACCCUGGUAGUCCACGCCCUAAACGAUGUCAACUGGUUGUUGGGAAGGUUCCUUCUCAGUAACGUAGCUAACGCGUGAAGUUGACCGCCUGGGGAGUACGGCCGCAAGGUUGAAACUCAAAUGAAUUGACGGGGUCA
rnacentral:rRNA from 1 species